CCUACGGGAGGCAGCAGUGGGGAAUUUUGGACAAUGGACGCAAGUCUGAUCCAGCCAUGCCGCGUGUGGGAAGAAGGCCUUCGGGUUGUAAACCACUUUUGUCAGGGAAGAAACGGCUCGGGUUAAUACCUUGGGCUAAUGACGGUACCUGAAGAAUAAGCACCGGCUAACUACGUGCCAGCAGCCGCGGUAAUACGUAGGGUGCAAGCGUUAAUCGGAAUUACUGGGCGUAAAGCGUGCGCAGGCGGUUAUGCAAGACAGAUGUGAAAUCCCCGGGCUCAACCUGGGAACUGCAUUUGUGACUGCAUGGCUAGAGUACGGUAGAGGGGGAUGGAAUUCCGCGUGUAGCAGUGAAAUGCGUAGAUAUGCGGAGGAACACCGAUGGCGAAGGCAAUCCCCUGGACCUGUACUGACGCUCAUGCACGAAAGCGUGGGGAGCAAACAGGAUUAGAUACCCUGGUAGUCCACGCCCUAAACGAUGUCAACUGGUUGUUGGGAGGGUUUCUUCUCAGUAACGUAGCUAACGCGUGAAGUUGACCGCCUGGGGAGUACGGCCGCAAGGUUGAAACUCAAAGAGUAGUACGCGCGNGAGAGCGACGACGACGACGACGGAGGAGGAGG
rnacentral:rRNA from 1 species